CAGAGGGUGCAAACGUUGUUCGGAAUUACUGGGCGUAAAGCGCGUGUAGGUGGCAAGGCAAGUCGGGUGUGAAAGCCCUGGGCUCAACCCAGGAAGUGCACUCGAUACUGCCUCGCUAGAGUCCCGGAGAGGUUGGUGGAACUCUCGGUGUAGAGGUGAAAUUCGUAGAUAUCGAGAAGAACACCGGUGGCGAAGGCGGCCAACUGGACGGUGACAGACACUGAGACGCGAAAGCGUGGGGAGCAAACAGGAUUAGAUACCCUGGUAGUCCACGCCGUAAACGAUGGGUGCUAGGUGUCACGGGUAUUGACCCCUGUGGCGCCGUAGCUAACGCAUUAAGCACCCCGCCUGGGAAGUACGGCCGCAAGGCUA
rnacentral:rRNA from 1 species